rnacentral:rRNA from 1 species
UACGUAGGGGGGCAAGCGUUGUCCCGGAUUUAUUGGGCGUAAAGAGCGUGUAGGCGGCCACACAGGUCUGCUGUGAAAACUCGAGGCUCAACCUCGAGCUGUCGGUGGAAACCGUGUGGCUAGAGUCCGGGAAGAGGAGAGUGGAAUUCCCGGUGUAGCGGUGAAAUGCGCAGAUAUCGGGGAAGAACACCCGUGGCGAAGGCGGCUCUCUGGGACGGUACUGACGCUGAGACGCGAAAGCGUGGGGAGCGAACAGG